GGGUAAUAAGGCAUCCGAGGGUUACACUGUCUCCUUUUUCUGUCAGUGAAACUAAUCUUCCCGUGAAGAAGCGGGAAUAUCCCCAUAAGACGAGAAGACCCCAUGGAGCUUCAAACCCAAUUACACCCCUAACCCCUAUAACUACUUAACCCUUAGGAUUCUGUAUUAUUGGUUUUAGGUUGGGGCGACCACGGAGUACGACAAAACCUCCACAAUGAACGGAACUACUUCCUCAUCUGAGAGCUACACCUCUAAGAAUUAAAAUAUUAACAUAAAAUGAUCCAUUUUUGAUCAAUGAACCAAGUUACCCUGGGGAUAACAGCGCAAUCCAUUUCAAGAGCCCCUAUCGACAAAUGGG
rnacentral:rRNA from 1 species